rnacentral:lncRNA from 1 species
UUGAAUAGAAUUGAGCCCUUGAGCUUGAAUACCAUUGAACUAAUUUGUGCAAGAACAAUUAAAAUAUAACAAGAUGAUGAACAAGAAUAUGAACGAAAGAAAAGGCGUUAUAUUGCUUUGAUAUCUCAGAGUGUAAGGUCUUUACAAAAUGAUUAGGACACUCUUUAUAUAGUAGAGAAAUCCUAUCUAUGAUACAAUUCUAAUUACGGAAGUAAAUCCUAUGAUUAGCCUAAACAACCGCCUUUGAUUUGAUCCAUUCUGAGAUUCCUGCUGUGAUCUUCGACAAGUCAUGGAUACUUCACUUUCCUGUUAUUGUGCUUUGCUCGAAAUCUUCUCUGUUUGUUCUCGAUUGCUAUCGACCUUGAUCUCGGUACGCACUUCGAUUCUCGAACUCAGUACCUUAUCUUCGUCACUUUGAUUCUCUCUAUUAUGAGGUUAACCCUCUAUACAACUCUCUGGUCACAACCAAACAGUAAAAUAAGGUAGGCCCGAUUUUAACUGUAUACAGUAUUGUAUCAUCCGAACUAUUAGUUAUACCCGAUAUAUGCCCAUCCCUAAUCUGGUAUAGUAAUAUUAUUUUUAGCCAUAAAUUAUACAUUUUUGAUGAUAUGUUUAAUUACUUAUGCUUAUUUGUUUAAGCCAUUUGGUUUCUCUAAUGCCAAAACUAAAUCCGUUAAAAUCAAGGAAUCGGUAGUUCUAAUAUAGCAAUUUUUCAAUGGAUAAAAAUUAACUUUUCAUUUGUAGUUCUCUGAUAGAUAAUAACUUCCAAAAAAAGGUUUCUCCAAUAUAAACUAAUGUAUUUGCAUAAUUCUGAGAUCUUCCUUGAAGGAUUUGCCCUGCAUAUUCCAGCUAAUGGCAGUACAAAUAGUGUGACACUUGACAUAAUUGCCAUCAACUACUGUGACCUUCAUUGGGCUGCUAUAAUGUAGUGCAUAGCCAUUAUCCUUAACAACUUGCUCAUCAAUGAAGCUGUGAGUUCUUCCUAAGUCUACCAAAAAGGUAAGGUUCUUGUAUUUAAUGAUUCCUCUAACUAGUAUGGAAUUCACUCUUAAGGAAUUAUCAGAUAAGGAACUUAGACACACACUUUCCAGUACCUCUUAUUGAAUCUCUCCUUCUAUCAUCACAUUAUGCAGAUCAUUUUCUUUAUUUAUAGUUUCAAUAGGUUUUUCAUGCUCCCCAACUAUACCAUUCAAUUGUCAGUUGUGGCACCUGUGCCUAGGAGUUUAUUUUUCCCCACACCUGAAACACUUGAUUGCCCUUCCUAUACUCAUACAUUUCAGGACUCAACCUAUAAGUGUUGCAUAAGUGUUGUUCCUACUGGCUUGAUGGUUGUUGUUCCUAGCAUUAAGGAUUGUAGCAGGUGUAUGAUUAGGAGUUUUUUCUAUCUUAGCAGUAGAAGAGUUAACAUGGGAUGGGCCAGAUUUGGCCAUUGGUUUAUCCUUCAUUUGCACAGUCUCUAGAGCCUUUUCCUGCAACCUUGCCUGUUCUAUGGCACUGCAUAAGGUAAUAGGUUUGAACAACUUAAUAGCAUACCUAAUUUCCCCUUUUAGCUCUCCCACAAAACUAGACAGACAAUGUGACUCAUUCAAAAUAGGAUUUCUUAUAAGCAUGUGAACCAUAAGGUCCUCAAACUUGCCUAGAAACUCCUCUACUGUCCCCGUCUGUUAGAGUUUAUUAAACUCCUCUACCACAUCCUCAUCAGACUUUCUCCAAAUAUAAUACAUAAUUUUCCUUAAAUAUAUCCCAAGUUACUAAUCGUUUUCUCAAUGUCAGGAAAUUAUACCAUACUUCAGCUAAACCAUUCAAAUAAAGUGCAACAUCCUCAACUUUCAAGUUAUCAACAGUUUUAUACAAAUUAAAAUACCUCUCACACUUUCGAAGCCAUACCUUUUGUUCCUUGCCUCCAAAACUGGGUAAUUCCCUCUUUGAGGGGGGAUAGGAAACCCUGCAUAUAUGUUGACCUUGCUUCAUGUGCUGGCAAAGAAAGCAAGCCAUCGCCUAGAUCUCGGGCCCUUACUGGUGGUCUUUCCAACAUGGUCAAAUGAUCCAACAUCUGCUCCAAGGUGCCUUGAAUGCCCAGCUACGUUUGUUGCCCAGAAGUGAGCUUAGCUAACACCUCCUCGUGGUGAGUGAUCUUCGCGUCCAUAGUCUACAUACUUUUACCUUUAACCAUUAACGAUUCACAGGUCGCAGGUAUGAAGACUCUGAUACCAAAUAUCAGGAGCUGACUUGUAAUUUGAAUCCUCAAUCAAACAAUAAAAGAGAAUGAGUUUUUGGGAAAAUUUUCUGUAAUUUUCAUUAAUUGAAAUACAAUUACAAAAUUGAAAUAACUAAUUAACUGGAAUUAAGAUAAGCUACAAUAUUUCAUUGCAUGGCUAAGAUCUACAGAAUUGAAAAAGGAAUGAUUGUUAGAAGAGAAGAGUGAAGAAGAAGAAGAAGAAGAAGAGACAAAAAAGGGAAUUUGGAUUAUCGGGUAUACGCCCCUUCCUUGAAUUAUGCCAGCUUAUGUAAUAGAAAUGCUGAGUUGGCACAAUCUUCACCCUCGAAGCUCAUUAGUCCACUUACAAUCUGGAUCGUUCAUCUUCAAUUGCUAAAUCUUCAACUUUUU